rnacentral:rRNA from 1 species
AGAGUUUGAUCCUGGCUCAGGAUAAACGCUGGCGGCGCACAUAAGACAUGCAAGUCGAACGGAAGUCGUUAUAAAAAGGAUUGAAGAUUUAUCUGAUUGAGAUUUUAUAACAAUGGCUUUAGUGGCGGACUGGUGAGUAACGCGUGAGCAACCUGCCUACUAGAGGGGAAUAACAGUGAGAAAUCAUUGCUAAUACCGCAUAUGCCAUGAACAUCACAUGAUGAAAAUGGGAAAAGAGUAAUCUGCUAGUAGAUGGGCUCGCGUCUGAUUAGAUAGUUGGUGGGGUAACGGCCUACCAAGUCGACGAUCAGUAGCCGGACUGAGAGGUUGAACGGCCACAUUGGGACUGAGAUACGGCCCAGACUCCUACGGGAGGCAGCAGUCGGGAAUAUUGCGCAAUGGAGGAAACUCUGACGCAGUGACGCCGCGUAUAGGAAGAAGGUUUUCGGAUUGUAAACUAUUGUCGUUAGGGAAGAUACAAGACAGUACCUAAGGAGGAAGCUCCGGCUAACUACGUGCCAGCAGCCGCGGUAAUACGUAGGGAGCAAGCGUUAUCCGGAUUUAUUGGGUGUAAAGGGUGCGUAGACGGGAAAGCAAGUUAGUUGUGAAAUCCCUCGGCUUAACUGAGGAACUGCAACUAAAACUACUUUUCUUGAGUGUUGGAGAGGAAAGUGGAAUUCCUAGUGUAGCGGUGAAAUGCGUAGAUAUUAGGAGGAACACCGGUGGCGAAGGCGACUUUCUGGACAAUAACUGACGUUGAGGCACGAAAGUGUGGGGAGCAAACAGGAUUAGAUACCCUGGUAGUCCACACCGUAAACGAUGGAUACUAGGUGUAGGGAACAUUAAGUUUUCUGUGCCGUCGCAAACGCAAUAAGUAUCCCACCUGGGGAGUACGGCCGCAAGGUUGAAACUCAAAGGAAUUGACGGGGGCCCG